rnacentral:lncRNA from 1 species
CACAGACAGCUCCCAAAGCCUGGGCCCGGCUGACAUCUUGCAAUUCUAACAUUUAGACUUACAUCCACGACCGAGCUGCGGGUUCUCCCUUCCUCUCAGAGUCCCGCCUCGUCCCUCCUGCAGCCCCGUCAGUUCCCCCAGAUGCCUCUAGUCAGUGCUUCCUCUGCGCCCCUCUUCUCUUCAGCACGACUCUGACUGCUUCCCAACAGGUGUCCCUGCUUUUGCUGCUGAAUCCUACAGCUAAUGGAAACACACGCACACACGCACACACACAUGCACACUAACGCCCUCAACCUCCCUUGGUUGAAUAAAAACUGAGAUUCGCCCCCUCACAUGGCCCUGCACUAUCUAGCUCCUGCCCUGUUCCACCCUUGUCUCCUACCCUCUUUCUGUGGCAGCCAGCUGCCCUUUCUGUUCUCCAGUGCCCCGCUGUGGCUGUGCACACCCUGGCCUGCCUUUGCAUACAUCGCUCUUCCUUUGGCCUGCAAUGCUUUGCUCCCUGACUCUCACCUGGUCACUCGUUCUGCCCCCUGGAUCUCAGCCGCAAUUCCCCUUGACCUCUCAGAACUUUACUGACUGGUGUCUAACAGUCGACGCUGCCACUCUGCACGCCGCCCUAUGUCAUUCCUCAAGCCACUACUUGCUAACUUCUUCAGUUUUUGUUUUGUUUGGUACUGGGGAUCGAACUCAGGACCUUGCACUUGCGAGGCAGCAGAACCACUGAGCUAAAUCCCCAGCCCUUUCUUCCCCAGUUUGUGUUGGUUUGUGUCGUGCUAUGAUGGGAUUGAACCCAGGACCUCCCAGGUGCGAGGCAAGCACUCCGCCCCUGAGCUCAGCCCCGACUCCGGUUCAUUUCUUCUCUGCUUGGCCUCACUGGAAUACGCGCUGCAGAAUGCUGUUCUCUGCUGUGCAGUGGCUUCACCAGGGUCUUUCCAUCCAUCCGCUCACAUGAUGAGAGAGGAAGCGAAGCAGCAGAAAGAAAGGAAGACCCUCAGGGAAGAGGAAUACAGAGACAAGGAAAGGAACAGCGGCCAAAAGGGAAACUAAAAGUGACAAAGCGGGGACAGUGAGAAUAGAAAGCAAAUGAGCCGGGCGUGGCAGCGCAGGCCUGCGAUCUGAGCACUUGGGAGGCUGAGGCAGGAGGAGCGCCACCAGUUCGAGGCCAGCCUGGGCUGCAUAGCGAGACCCUGUCUCUACCCCCUCAUAAGAAGGCAAGAUCCAAGUCAAGAAAUUUGAGCGGCAUUUUCGCUUUUUUCCAUUACAUCUGGACAGCCACCGAGACCUAUAGAUUUUGCCCAGAAGCACACUUGCCCCCAUUCUCCUGCUGCUGCUCCAGAAGUACACAGCCCUGCCAUCUGCUUGCUGGUUGUUAUUAAAUCCUCCUUCCUGUCUCUGUGCUUGGGCUUUCCCCUCCUGCUCCCUAAGAGCCACAGCCCAUCCAUUCUUUUCUCUCUUUUUUUGGUAUAUUUGUUUAUUUAUUUAGCGAUACUGGGGAUUGAACCCGAGGCCUUUGCACUGACCGCAUGGACAUCCCCAGCCCUUUAAAAAAAAAAGCCACUCAGUGUUCUAACAGUCCAGUCUGAGUGGGUUCCUCUCUCACUUAAUUUUUUUCUUCUCCUUCUUUUUCUUUCUUUUUUCCUCAGUGAUGGAGAAGAAACCCAGAGUCUCAUAUGUGCUAGACAAGCGCUCUUCCCACCAGCUACAUCCUGGCCCUCCCUAGAGUACCCGUGGCGCUGCACACACGCAGAAUGGAGUUCAUGCUUCUUUUCUUGGCCUAAACCCUCCAGUCACUCUCUCAGCUUCAGAGCCUCCACCUCUUCCGCGCAUGCCUGCUGCACACUGGGACGCCCAGGUCCGGCCCUUUCGUUUUGUUUUGUUUUUGGUACCGGGGAUCGAACUCGGGUCCUUGCGCUUGCACAGCAGCUGGCGAAACCACUGAGCUACAUCCUGGCCCAAGUCAGACCCUUUCUCACCUCUGGCUUUACACGCAUUCCUUCCUCCACCCGAACCCCUCCUGCCCCCACUGUGAAGGCCAGGCCUUCCGCACUUGCCUGUGGGUGUCCAGGAGCCCCGGUCAAGGACCCAGCGAGCUGUCCCUUUUCGUCCACCAAGCACUCGUGCUCAGUGAGUGUUUGUGGGGUACAAGGAAUGCUGGACAGGAGGGCUGAGACCUGCAGGACUCAGAACAGCGCCCUCCAAGGAGUGGCCCCUUGGCAUCCGGGUAUGUUGGAUUAAAGCACUUGGGAGGCCUCAGAAGCAGCUUCCGAACCCAGGUCUCUCUGAUCUUCUCCUGCCCUCCUGUCUCUUGCCCCUUUUUCUCUCCCAAAGCAAGCUCUAUAGGAACUAGAAUUCCUCUUCCCCGAGACAGCUCCUACAAACUGCAGCAUAGAAAUAAUACUGAAUAAAACCUCGAAGUAUUACUGCAACACCCAUUCCACCCCACACCUUCCCAUGGAACAGCUGGCCAUAAAGAAAUCCUCGCUGAUCUACCUCGUCUGAGAGCAGGGCUAAGACCCCCUAUCCAGAGGGAUCUUGCAGCAUGCCCAGAAGGAAAAAAAUGCCACGUAGACAGGCUACAAAGAAGCUGAACAGAUGGGCUCGGCUGAUUUUUCCCACUAACUCCACUGGGUCAGGCCCUGGUUGUCUCAUCACAUUUCUACACAUCCUUUCAUUCUUCAUCUAGUGUGAACAUACAGUGGACAGUGUUCCUUCGGUCUUCGGGCCUUUAUUUCUGCUUUGUUUUGCUUGUUUGUUCUGAAACAGUUUCAAUAUCUAGCCCAGGCUGGACUCAAGCUUGUGGUCUUCCUGUCUCAGCCUCCCAAGUGCUGGAAUUUCAGAAAUGCACCACCAGGCUGUCUUGAGUCUUCAUUUCUGAAGUCUCCUCUGUUACAUAAAAUUUUGAUUAGGGCGGGGAUUUAGUUCAGUGGUUUCGCCGCCUGCUGCACAAGCCUAAGGACCCGAGUUCAAUCCCCAGUACCAAAAAACCCA